rnacentral:rRNA from 1 species
CAGAUUGAACGCUGGCGGCAGGCUUAACACAUGCAAGUCGAGCGGAGAUGAGGUGCUUGCACCUUAUCUUAGCGGCGGACGGGUGAGUAAUGCUUAGGAAUCUGCCAUUUAGUGGGGGACAACAUUCCGAAAGGAAUGCUAAUACCGCAUACGUCCUACGGGAGAAAGCAGGGGAUCUUCGGACCUUGCGCUAAAUGAUGAGCCUAAGUCGGAUUAGCUAGUUGGUGGGGUAAAGGCCUACCAAGGCGACGAUCUGUAGCGGGUCUGAGAGGAUGAUCCGCCACACUGGGACUGAGACACGGCCCAGACUCCUACGGGAGGCAGCAGUGGGGAAUAUUGGACAAUGGGCGGAAGCCUGAUCCAGCCAUGCCGCGUGUGUGAAGAAGGCCUUUUGGUUGUAAAGCACUUUAAGCGAGGAGGAGGCUACUAGUACUAAUACUACUGGAUAGUGGACGUUACUCGCAGAAUAAGCACCGGCUAACUCUGUGCCAGCAGCCGCGGUAAUACAGAGGGUGCGAGCGUUAAUCGGAUUUACUGGGCGUAAAGCGUGCGUAGGCGGCUUUUUAAGUCGGAUGUGAAAUCCCCGAGCUUAACUUGGGAAUUGCAUUCGAUACUGGGAAGCUAGAGUAUGGGAGAGGAUGGUAGAAUUCCAGGUGUAGCGGUGAAAUGCGUAGAGAUCUGGAGGAAUACCGAUGGCGAAGGCAGCCAUCUGGCCUAAUACUGACGCUGAGGUACGAAAGCAUGGGGAGCAAACAGGAUUAGAUACCCUGGUAGUCCAUGCCGUAAA